rnacentral:rRNA from 1 species
UACAGAGGGGGCAAACGUUGCUCGGAAUCACUGGGCGUAAAGCGCGUGUAGGCGGACCGGAAAGUCGGGUGUGAAAUCCCUGGGCUCAACCCAGGAACUGCAUCCGAAACUACCAGCCUAGAGUGUCGGAGAGGGAAGUGGAAUUCUUGGUGUAGAGGUGAAAUUCGUAGAUAUCAAGAGGAACACCGGUGGCGAAGGCGGCUUCCUGGACGAUAACUGACGCUGAGACGCGAAAGCGUGGGGAGCAAACAGG